rnacentral:misc_RNA from 1 species
AUGAUAACACAGUUAAGGCGAUUACGGCUGCUUACAACUUGCAGCAGAACCUUGCAAAGAUCCAAGCUGAUGCAAUGCCAGAACAUUAUGAAGCAGAGCUGGAGAUUAAUGAUUUCCCGCAAAAUGCUCGGUGGAAGGUUACUCACAAGGACACAUUGGUUCCAAUUUCUGAAUUUUUUGGUGCUGCAAUUACUACAAGGGGACAGUAUUUCCCACCAGGCCGGAUUCCAGGACCAGGAGAACGCAAGCUUUACUUGUUCAUUGAGGGCCCUAGUGAAACGUCUGUUAAAAAAGCUAAAGCAGAAUUAAAACGUGUUUUGGAAGACAUCACAAACCAGGCAUUAUCACUUCCUGGUGGAGCUCAGCCAGGGAGAUACUCAGUUAUAUAAGUGAGUGUUUGGAAAAGUUCCAGAAGAUACAUUUUGCCUUAUAGAAGUCUCUUGCAAUUGCACCUUUGACCGAUGUUAAAAUUGAGCAGGAUGACAGUGACAUAGUUUCCAUUUGUAGAUUUUGCAUUGCAGGGGUGUCCUUGUAAUUAUAUUGGGCAGGCUAACUACAAAAUAUAUGUUAUUUUGUGGUCCUGCUUUCCAUUAUACUGGCACAUGUCUGGAUGCUUUUGAUUGUGUUUUAUUUAUUCUUCUUUUGUCAGAUUUACUUAAAUGGUAUAAUUAUAACUAUUAUUAUACCAUUUAAGUAAAUCUG